rnacentral:rRNA from 1 species
ACGGUGAGUAACACGCAUCCAACCUGCCGUCUACUCUUGGCCAGCCUUCUGAAAGGAAGAUUAAUCCAGGAUGGCAUCAUGAGUUCACAUGUCCGCAUGAUUAAAGGUAUUUUCCGGUAGACGAUGGGGAUGCGUUCCAUUAGAUAGUAGGCGGGGUAACGGCCCACCUAGUCAACGAUGGAUAGGGGUUCUGAGAGGAGGGUCCCCCACAUUGGAACUGAGACACGGUCCAA